UACCAGAAAUUAUACCCUUUCCUCUUCUCUUCCACGCUACUUUAAGAAAAAAAUGCAUAGUUGCUCUUUCCAAACUCAAUCGCCUCUUCUAGUUCGAAUGCAUGGUGAGAGGUUGAUCCUUGACGAGCUCCCAAUCAGUGAAUGAAGCAGCGUUUGAUAGAUCAAAGCUUGAAUCAUACAGAGCAUCGACGUAUGAAUCUUCGUCGUGCGGUGGAGAACGACAACGCCAGUGUCUACCUCACGCGGUGGUGGUUUUCUGCAUGAUUUCGGUGUCGAUGAAAUAGUAGCUCUGACGCGGUCAUGAUUCACGUUUGAACCUCAACUUCUUCUGUAUUUUUCUUCUCUUUAGAUCUGAUUUGAAAACUGUUUAUGGUUUUAGAGUGUUGUUAAGUUGUGUUGGUUAUGGGUUGAAGAUGAAGCUUUGAUGGAGGAAAAGCGAAUUGAAAAUAUGCAGAGUCAGUGAUAAUAUGUGAUUUUUCCUUCUUCUGAAAAAGUUUAGGGAUUUUCGCCGUUUGAAGAAAUUAGGGUUUUUCCGUCGUGGUCGCCUCUCCUCCUUUACAGUAUUGGCUUCGUCCCUUUUUAUAUCAACAAUUUAGGGUUUCAGGUUGGCUUAUGGAGAUCGAAAGGGUAUCUCUGCGAAAUCCCUUUAGGGUGCUCGGAUUUUGGUCUGCCUUAUUCGGUGUUAAUUCGGAAACGUGAAAUGUAAAUGCAAGCAAAAGAACGGGAAGCAAUAACAGGUUUGUUGUGUAUCGCAUUUGUUGUUGUUGGUGUAUUAACGGUUGUUGCUUUUUUCUCUGUUUCUGUUUUGCAGCGAUGAAGAACCUCUGCCGGUUAUUUUUGGAGCCGUCUUGUGCUGAGUUUUAGCCGGUUCUUCUAGCACUGGUGAAUUGGUAGAGAUUCAGGUUGGUGCAUCUAGAAGACGUAAAGCUAAUAGAUAGAGAUAAUCCAUGAUCUCACUUGUCUUCAACAUCAAGACUUGGAUAAACCACCUAAAUGCCUGAAGAAAGUUAUUUCCAAAAGACACUAUAACAUGCCGUAGUCUGCAUAAAGCCUCUUACUUUGGUUUGUCAUUUAAGGUUACAAGCGAUCUAAGCACUCCAAGAUUAAUCUUGUCUGCAAGAGCACCUGUAUAUGAUAUAAUAAGUGUUUUUUUCUUCACAAUGCUCUGUAGUUUCUUUGAGAUUCUUAUUAUGCUGCAGGCUUUUGUUGGAGAUUAGGAAAAGAUUACAGGUAGCAUAUGGUUGUUACGGUUGCAGAGUGAAGGGUGCAAAACAGAAUGAAGAGAUAAGAGAAAGAGUGAAGAGAAAGAUUGAAAAAGUGAAGAAAACUCGUGGCUCGAGCCAAUGGUGAGAACUGCCAAUUUAUAGAGUUUCGAUGAAGUGAUUUCGUUAACUCUGUUAAUCUCUUCUUCCACCAAAUUUGUUAACCGUUGAAACUCUGUUAGUUAGUUUGUUAAAUUGAUUAUUCUGUCAAAAAUCUGUUGACAAUCUCAAAUGGCUUUUGAUUCUCUAUGAUGAAUAUAAUGAUAUGUUGAAUAUACUAUUGAAGUUUAUUCAACGGGC